rnacentral:rRNA from 1 species
UACAUAGGGUGCAAGCGUUGUUCGGAAUUAUUGGGCGUAAAGGGCGCGUAGGCGGUGCGGUAAGUCUGUAGUGAAAUCUCUGGGCUCAACUCAGAGUCUGCUGCAGAAACUGCCGUGCUUGAGUGUGGGAGAGGUGAGUGGAAUUCCCGGCGUAGCGGUGAAAUGCGUAGAUAUCGGGAGGAACACCUGUGGCGAAAGCGGCUCACUGGACCACAACUGACGCUGAGGCGCGAAAGCUAGGGGAGCAAACAGG